rnacentral:rRNA from 1 species
UGGGGGAAUAUUGGGGCAAUGGGGGAAACCCUGACCCAGCAACGCCGCGUGAAGGAAGAAGGCUUCGGGUUGUAAACUUCUUUUACCAGGGAGCGAAAGGACGUGACGGUACCUGGAGAAAAAGCAACGGCUAACUACGUGCCAGCAGCCGCGGUAAUACGUAGGUUGCAAGCGUUGUCCGGAUUUACUGGGUGUAAAGGGCGUGUAGGCGGAGAAGCAAGUUGGGAGUGAAAUCCAUGGGCUCAACCCAUGAACUGCUCUCAAAAACUGUUUCCCUUGAGUAUCGGAGAGGCAAGCGGAAUUCCUAGUGUAGCGGUGAAAUGCGUAGAUAUUAGGAGGAACACCAGUGGCGAAGGCGGCUUGCUGGACGACAACUGACGCUGAGGCGCGAAAAGCGUGGGGAGCAAACAGGAUUAGAUACC